AUUACUUGUAGAUAUGCUUGUUGGGUUACUGCAGCUGGCAUUUGAAGCUCAUGAUGGACAAAAAAGACGAAGUGGAGAACCUUUUAUCAUUCAUCCUGUUGAAGUUGCACGAAUUCUAGGAGAGCUUGAAUUAGAUUGGGAAUCCAUUGCUGCUGGUUUAUUACAUGAUACUGUUGAAGAUACGGAUGUUGUUACGUUUGAAAGAAUUGAAAAAGAGUUUGGGGCUACAGUACGCCACAUUGUAGAGGUAGAGACCAAGGUAUCCAAACUGGGUAAACUGCAAUGUAAAGAUUCGAAUGAGUCAGUACAAGAUGUGAAAGCUGAUGAUCUACGGCAAAUGUUUCUCGCCAUAACAGAAGAGGUCCGUGUUAUCAUUGUAAAUUUAGCUGACAGGUUACAUAACAUGCGUACUCUCUCGCACAUGCCUCCACAUAAGCAGUCCAGCAUUGCCUUGGAGACAUUGCAGGUCUUUGCUCCUCUAGCAAAACUACUAGGAAUGUAUCAGGUUAAGGCCAUCAUUCCCUGGAAAGAAGCCAAUGGGAUUUUAAUUGUUCUGUGAGCAUGCGAUGCAUUCUGUGCUGAAUUCAGUGAAAGCAGAAACUUGUAAAAGAUCUGCUAUCAAUGGAUUUUAAUUUCCAUGGACUGUUGCUUUCCGUUUUUAAUUAGAUCUUUUGUUCAUAUAUCAGUAUUUUUUUUUUCCAGCUGAUUGUAAAUAGGGGGGACAAGGCUCUGAUGAUGGUCAUGUGAAUUAACAUUUUUGCCGUUGUAUUAUUGCAGGUCAGACAUUAAGGCUUCUUUGCCUUGACAAUAUAUUUGCUAGUUGUGGGAAAAAGAAAACUCUGAUUACUCAUCAGAAAAAGUGGUGGCUACAACCUUUAAGACAGGGCCAGGAUGUUCUAUUGAGCUCAUGAAAUUUGAUAUGGGAGGUUCUGCAGCAGCUCUGGGUGUAGCAAAAUCCAUAGGGCAAAUUAAGCCGGCAGGAGUAGAGGCAAGUUGGAAAAAAUUCACUAGUGUCGAUGCAAUUUCUAGAAGUUGAAAGUGGCGUGGCAUGCUACUAAGUCACCAUCAUCUUCAUCUAUGCCUUAUCCCAUCUAAUUGGUCUAUUGACAUGACAUGCUAUUAAAUAUGGGUAACAAAAUUGUAUUUUCCAGGUUCAUUUCAUUGUUGCUACUUGUGAGAACAUGAUUAGCGGUACUGGCAUGAGACCUGGGGACAUAGUCACAGCUUCGAAUGGAAAAACGAUUGAGGUAAUUCUGCUUG